UACGGAGGGUGCGAGCGUUGUCCGGAAUCACUGGGCGUAAAGGGCGCGUAGGCGGCAGGCCAAGCGUGCGGUGAAAGUCCGGGGCUCAACCCCGGAUCUGCCGUGCGGACUGGUUUGCUAGAGCACUGUAGAGGCGAGUGGAAUUCCGGGUGUAGCGGUGGAAUGCGUAGAGAUCCGGAAGAACACCGGUGGCGAAGGCGGCUCGCUGGGCAGUGGCUGACGCUGAGGCGCGACAGCGUGGGGAGCAAGAG
rnacentral:rRNA from 1 species